ensembl:snoRNA SNORA71 Small nucleolar RNA SNORA71
CCCUGUCUCGAAAGUGACUAUGGCUUUGAUUAGUGGCCCGGUCAUUGAUAAUACAGGAAGAGUCAAAUGAGAGCCUUUCCCGUGUCCGAUGGGUCAUAAGUCCCUACCGAACCCCGUUUCUCUCAGACA